rnacentral:rRNA from 1 species
AUACGGAGGAUCCGAGCGUUAUCCGGAUUUAUUGGGUUUAAAGGGAGCGUAGGCGGACGCUUAAGUCAGUUGUGAAAGUUUGCGGCUCAACCGUAAAAUUGCAGUUGAUACUGGGUGUCUUGAGUACAGUAGAGGCAGGCGGAACUCGUGGUGUAGCGGUGAAAUGCUUAGAUAUCACGAAGAACUCCGACUGCGAAGGCAGCCUGCUGGACUGUAACUGACGCUGAUGCUCGAAAGUGUGGGUAUCAAACAGGAUUAGAUACCCUGGUAGUCCAAACAGUAAACGGUGAAUACUCGCUGUUUGCGAUACCCUGUAAGCGGCCAAGCGAAAGCGUUAAGUAUUCCACCUGGGGAGUACGCCGGCAACGGGGAAACUCAAAUGAAUUGACGGGG